rnacentral:rRNA from 1 species
UACGUAGGGUGCAAGCGUUAAUCGGAAUUACUGGGCGUAAAGCGUGCGCAGGCGGUUUUGUAAGUCUGUCGUGAAAUCCCCGGGCUCAACCUGGGAAUUGCGAUGGAGACUGCGAAGGCUGAGAAUCUGGCAGAGGGGGUAGAAUUCCACGUGUAGCAGUGAAAUGCGUAGAGAUGUGGAGGAACACCGAUGGCGAAGGCAGCCCCCUGGGUCAAGAUUGACGCUCAUG